CUGAGAAAAGAUUAACCCAUGUGGCAGAGCUUCGAAUUAAAAACAUAGCUAAGCAAUCCUCAUACAGGACUUGGUACGGUCAGAAGAGGGAUGGUUUCUAGGUCCGUUCACCACACUGGCAAGGAGCAAGUGCAUCUCUCUAAAGACAGCCGGCGACACUCACAUCGAAUGCCCGGAGGAGACCAGGACCAGCGCUGGGCUUUGAAAAACAGGCCCUGGCCAUGACCGUGCAGCAUCACCAUCUCUCGCUGCUACUUAUUUUCCAUAUUGAAAGACCUCGCAAAUGCCUGGGUACAUUUCUUCAAACGACUGCAUUUCCUCAUUAGGUGAAUAAGCUGUGUGUUUGAUGAUUUUCUACCUUCUUCCUUUUUUCUGGGUUUCUUUUUUCUUCAGAUAGAUACACUCAUUUUUAAUCUUGUGGUAAGCCCACUGCAUUUCUUAUUAUAUGUGGAGAGAAUAUUUCUACUUGACCCAUCACAAGAAGAAACCAGAUAUUGUUAUUCAAAACACAUAUGUAAUUGAUCUCUUUUUACAAGCCUACAUCAAAUAGGUUGCUUCUCCAAAGCAAGGAACAACUUGAAAUUCAUACAGAUUUUGAAAGGUGAGGAGUGUGAACACAAGUCCUUGUAGAUGAAAGAACAUGCUUUUCAGUUAUUUUACUCAGUGCAAAAGAGUUUUUAAUACAAACAAGGCAUGUUGAGUUGAUUAUGAAACAGAAAGAAAUAUAACAAAAUACUUGCUACUCUCAUCGAAUGGAUGCAGGGACACUUUAAAAGCUGGUUUGCUUAUUAUCAUUAACUACUAAAUUCAUUUCAUUUACCAUUUUGGCAUUACUAUAACCCCAGACUAAAAUGCAUUUCUGUUCUUUCUCAUGCUAAAUUGCAGAACCUUUUAGGUAGCGGGGAGCAGGAAGGCAGGGAAACAAAGAAGUCGCAACCAACCUUAAAAUUGCCUCUGUCUCCCAUCCAAGUCUGUAGGCACCAAAGCGGCUCAGCCAGCCGGGCCAUCACUUCACCUGCUCUUCAGCACUCCUCUUGUCGCUCCCCUAAGCUCCCAAACGUAAAACAGCCCUAGCAAAACUGGGCUGUAUUCCUUACAACAGUGUUUGCUGCUCUUAACUGUGCAACCUUGAGCCUACCGAGACCUCCCGUUAGACCCAUGACUGGUCCAGGAGAACAGGCCGUUUACCUUGAAAGUCUGGCCAGGGCUUCCAGGAGGAUUACUCUCUAAUCUGGUUAAGCAGCUGAAUGCCAUGCAGAGCUGACCAUUAUUACUCUGUUGAUGGGGAUUUGCCAGGGAAAUGACGCUAAUCUCCCUGCCCUGCGAUGUUGCAGGAAUGCGUCGUUUCCUGGGAACGCUACGGGUUUCUGCUCGCCACCACCUUUAGAAACGGAAAAGCCCUGCAGCUAAAUCAAUCCCCAUUUCCUUCUCCCAGUGUGAACUCUACCACGCCGGCGUGCCUUCACCGCCUGCGCUGCUGCCACCGCUGAGGCGGGACGUCACACCGAGCCCGAGGUCAGCGGCCACCGGGAAGCUUUGCGGUCGCAGUUGCCCGCGUCGAGGGCCAACUUCACGCUCUCCUUCACAUCCCUCCGGGAACCAGCUGGCUUCAUCGUCGCGUGGUCAAGCGCCCAGCCCGUGUUGGACUCCACCACACGUGGAAGUGGGUUUGGCCUCCAAACUGAUUCCCAAUAUAUUCACUGCCCCCCAAACCAGCCAUUUUUAUUAAGGAGCUUUUUUUACCCAUUCCUCUUAUAAAAAAAAUUUCUACCAUGUCUUUCCUGGGUCUAAACUUGAUGUGGAGGACAGUGUGCUAACCCUUAAAAAUACUAUGUUUUCCAGCUUUUAUAUAAAGUGUAAACCAACUGUAA